rnacentral:rRNA from 1 species
UUAAAUUGAAGAGUUUGAUCAUGGCUCAGAUUGAACGCUGGCGGCAGGCCUAACACAUGCAAGUCGAACGGUAACAGGAAGCAGCUUGCUGCUUUGCUGACGAGUGGCGGACGGGUGAGUAAUGUCUGGGAAACUGCCCGAUGGAGGGGGAUAACUACUGGAAACGGUAGCUAAUACCGCAUAACGUCGCAAGACCAAAGAGGGGGACCUUAGGGCCUCUUGCCAUCGGAUGUGCCCAGAUGGGAUUAGCUAGUAGGUGGGGUAACGGCUCACCUAGGCGACGAUCCCUAGCUGGUCUGAGAGGAUGMCCMGCCMCACCCGGACCUGMGMYMACAUCCGAUCUCCUACCGGCGGCA